UACAGAGGUCCCGAGCGUUAUUCGGAUUCACUGGGCGUAAAGGGUGCGCAGGUGGGUUGGCAAGUUUGAUGUGAAAGCCCCGGGCUUAACCCGGGAAUGGCAUUGAAUACUGCUGAUCUGGAGGAUUGGAGGGGGACUGGAAUUCUUGGUGUAGCAGUGAAAUGCGUAGAUAUCAAGAGGAACACCAGUGGCGAAGGCGAGUCCCUGGACAAUACCUGACACUGAGGCACGAAAGCUAGGGGAGCAAACAGG
rnacentral:rRNA from 1 species